rnacentral:rRNA from 1 species
GACGAGCGCUGGCGGCGCGCUUAACACAUGCAAGUCGAGCGGAAAGGCCUGCUUUCCCUUGUGGAUUGCGGGUACUCGAGUGGCGAACGGGUGAGUAACACGUGAGUGAUCUGCCCCCAACUUGGGUAUAAGCCUGGGAAACUGGGUCUAAUUCCCGAUAGGACUGCAGGGUGGUGCCUGUGGUGGAAAACGAUUUUCUAGUGGUUGGGGAUGAGCUCGCGGCCUAUCAGCUUGUUGGUGGGGUAAUGGCCUACCAAGGCGGCGACGGGUAGCCGGCCUGAGAGGGUGGACGGCCACAUUGGGACUGAGAUACGGCCCAGACUCCUACGGGAGGCAGCAGUGGGGAAUAUUGCACAAUGGGCGGAAGCCUGAUGCAGCGACGCCGCGUGGGGGAUGACGGCCUUCGGGUUGUAAACUCCUUUCGACCGCGAGGAAGCCACCUGGUUGGAAGGGUGGUGACGGUAGUGGUAGAAGAAGCACCGGCUAACUACGUG